rnacentral:rRNA from 1 species
UACGAAGGGUGCAAACGUUGCUCGGAAUUAUUGGGCGUAAAGCGCACGUAGGCGGCUUUGCAAGUCGGAUGUGAAAUCCCUCGGCUUAACCAAGGUAGUGCAUCCGAGACUGCAGAGCUUGAGUACUUAAGAGGAUCGCGGAAUUCCCGGUGUAGAGGUGAAAUUCGUAGAUAUCGGGAGGAACACCAGUGGCGAAGGCGGCGAUCUGGGAAGAUACUGACGCUGAGGUGCGAAAGCGUGGGGAGCAAACAGG